rnacentral:rRNA from 1 species
AAACGACUCUUGGCAACGGAUAUCUAGGCUCUUGCAUCGAUGAAGAACGUAGCGAAAUGCGAUACUUGGUGUGAAUUGCAGAAUCCCGUGAAUCAUCGAGUCUUUGAACGCAAGUUGCGCCCAAAGCCUUCGGGCCAAGGGCACGUCUGCCUGGGYGUCAUAA